rnacentral:lncRNA from 1 species
GAUUCCAUAUAGCAAUUGUAGGUUGCGAACUUUUCUAGUUAAUGAAGUCUGGACUAGGUCCCGGGGAUGUAGGUUAUCCGAACCCCGUUAACAAAGCUUGUGCCUUAUUUACUUUAUGCUCAUACAUACUCGAAGUAGAUCAUACACAUAGUUGAAUUAGUCACACAUAUGCACUUUCAAUUGGUAUCAGAGCGGGUUCUCGAUAGAGAUCUUUUCUUGUUUCGGGUGUUCGAUCUUGGAUGUGUGACUAGCGAAGAGUUAGAAGUAGUUGUGUAUGCGUGAGAAAAGUCGAAGCAAAGGUGAAUAAAGUGCACAUGAUCUACGGUCACUAAUAAGAGUAUGUCUUCUGCUAUGAAUAGUAGCCUAGAACCUGGAAAGCAUCGAUCAAAAUCUGGUUUGCUUCUGAUAGUAUGUCAAGCGUGGGGAAGAAGAAAGACGAAGAAAGAACAGUUACGGUCUUAUGUUUCUGUUUGGGCUUCUGUUAACUGCACAUGGACCUGAAGAUAUUACAUGGCCCUGUUCUUGUUUGUGUUCGACAUGGAGCACAUAGGGGUUUAAUCGUGUGGUGUGAAAGAGAAGAAAUCAAGGUGUUUUUUGUUU